GAUGAACGCUGGCGGCGUGCCUAAUACAUGCAAGUCGAGCGAACGGACGAGAAGCUUGCUUCUCUGAUGUUAGCGGCGGACGGGUGAGUAACACGUGGAUAACCUACCUAUAAGACUGGGAUAACUUCGGGAAACCGGAGCUAAUACCGGAUAAUAUUUUGAACCGCAUGGUUCAAAAGUGAAAGACGGUCUUGCUGUCACUUAUAGAUGGAUCCGCGCUGCAUUAGCUAGUUGGUAAGGUAACGGCUUACCAAGGCAACGAUGCAUAGCCGACCUGAGAGGGUGAUCGGCCACACUGGAACUGAGACACGGUCCAGACUCCUACGGGAGGCAGCAGUAGGGAAUCUUCCGCAAUGGGCGAAAGCCUGACGGAGCAACGCCGCGUGAGUGAUGAAGGUCUUCGGAUCGUAAAACUCUGUUAUUAGGGAAGAACAUAUGUGUAAGUAACUGUGCACAUCUUGACGGUACCUAAUCAGAAAGCCACGGCUAACUACGUGCCAGCAGCCGCGGUAAUACGUAGGUGGCAAGCGUUAUCCGGAGUUAUUGGGCGUAAAGCGCGCGUAGGCGGUUUUUUAAGUCUGAUGUGAAAGCCCACGGCUCAACCGUGGAGGGUCAUUGGAAACUGGAAAACUUGAGUGCAGAAGAGGAAAGUGGAAUUCCAUGUGUAGCGGUGAAAUGCGCAGAGAUAUGGAGGAACACCAGUGGCGAAGGCGACUUUCUGGUCUGUAACUGACGCUGAUGUGCGAAAGCGUGGGGAUCAAACAGGAUUAGAUACCCUGGUAGUCCACGCCGUAAACGAUGAGUGCUAAGUGUUAGGGGGUUUCCGCCCCUUAGUGCUGCAGCUAACGCAUUAAGCACUCCGCCUGGGGAGUACGACCGCAAGGUUGAAACUCAAAGGAAUUGACGGGGACCCGCACAAGCGGUGGAGCAUGUGGUUUAAUUCGAAGCAACGCGAAGAACCUUACCAAAUCUUGACAUCCUUUGACAACUCUAGAGAUAGAGCCUUCCCCUUCGGGGGGGGCAAAGUGACAGGUGGUGCAUGGUUGUCGUCAGCUCGUGUCGUGAGAUGUUGGGUUAAGUCCCGCAACGAGCGCAACCCUUAAGCUUAGUUGCCAUCAUUAAGUUGGGCACUCUAAGUUGACUGCCGGUGACAAACCGGAGGAAGGUGGGGAUGACGUCAAAUCAUCAUGCCCCUUAUGAUUUGGGCUACACACGUGCUACAAUGGACAAUACAAAGGGCAGCGAAACCGCGAGGUCAAGCAAAUCCCAUAAAGUUGUUCUCAGUUCGGAUUGUAGUCUGCAACUCGACUACAUGAAGCUGGAAUCGCUAGUAAUCGUAGAUCAGCAUGCUACGGUGAAUACGUUCCCGGGUCU
rnacentral:rRNA from 1 species